UGAAUCACAUUCAAUAUUUUGGUUGAUUAUCUGGAGGAUAUAUGCCUUUUCAGUGAGUAGGUGAAAAUGCAUUUCCUACAUACUGUCAACAGAGGAGUGCAAGGAGCUAGUCUCACAGGAGCUCUUAUUCUGAGAGUCACUCUUGAUAGCUUCAGUGUUGAGCUGAAGUCCAGAAAUAGUGCCAAUACUCAAUGUGGGGAAAUAAAUCAGGAGAGAACCAGCAAUGGGACUCACCCCUUCUUCUGCCAGGUAAACUGCUAAAUGUAUUUGAAAUGACCUUAGGUUGGAUGAAGUGGAAGAUGAUGCAGGAGCAGACACUGAAGUCUUGUCACUGUCUGUGGUGGGAUUCUGGCCCCUGGGAAAAGGCAAAAACCAGCAGGACUGGGGACAAGCACCUCCCACAGUAUGUGCUGUGUAUACUGGGAGCACUCAAGCUUUGAUUAAACUAAAUUCAAUCCCCAAGACUUUCUAAUGAACUGUAAAAACUCACUCUAAUUUACAUUCAAACAUCACUAUGGUCUCCAUACUGUAAUUACAUUAGUAAUGAUCUAUCUGAAGCCUUCGUAAGUUUUAUAGGACUUUUACUUAUAAUUAUAAAAAUAUGAAAAAGAGAUAAGAGAGAGAAAAUAAGGAAAUAGUAAAGGAUGGAAUUGAAAAAAAGAAAGCUAGUAGAGGAGAACAGAAAAGAAUCUGAAAGGACAGAAAGAGCAGAAGAAACUACAGUAGCAUAGCAAUGUAAUAAAAUUCUAAAGCUUGUCAAUCACUUUCUUGCACAGGUAAAUUAAAACAUCAGAAA